rnacentral:rRNA from 1 species
UUAAGCGACUAAGCGUACACGGUGGAUGCCCUGGCAGUCAGAGGCGAUGAAGGACGUGCUAAUCUGCGAAAAGCGUCGGUAAGGUGAUAUGAACCGUUAUAACCGGCGAUGUCCGAAUGGGGAAACCCAGUGCAAUUCGUUGCACUAUCGUUAACUGAAUACAUAGGUUAACGAGGCGAACCGGGGGAACUGAAACAUCUAAGUACCCCGAGGAAAAGAAAUCAACCGAGAUUCCCCCAGUAGCGGCGAGCGAACGGGGAGCAGCCCAGAGUCUGAAUCAGCUUGUGUGUUAGUGGAACGGUCUGGAAAGUCCGACGGUACAGGGUGAUAGUCCCGUACACCAAAAUGCACAGGYUGUGAACUCGAAGAGUAGGGCGGGACACGUGGUAUCCUGUCUGAAUAUGGGGGGACCAUCCUCCAAGGCUAAAUACUCCUGACUGACCGAUAGUGAACCAGUACCGUGAGGGAAAGGCGAAAAGAACCCCGGCGAGGGGAGUGAAAAAGAACCUGAAACCGUGUACGUACAAGCAGUGGGAGCACCUUCGGGUGUGACUGCGUACCUUUUGUAUAAUGGGUCAGCGACUUAUAUUCUGUAGCAAGGUUAACCGUAUAGGGGAGCCGCAGGGAAACCGAGUCUUAACUGGGCGUUAAGUUGCAGGGUAUAGACCCGAAACCCGGUGAUCUAGCCAUGGGCAGGUUGAAGGUUGGGUAACACUAACUGGAGGACCGAACCGACUAAUGUUGAAAAAUUAGCGGAUGACUUGUGGCUGGGGGUGAAAGGCCAAUCAAACCGGGAGAUAGCUGGUUCUCCCCGAAAGCUAUUUAGGUAGCGCCUCGUGAAUUCAUCUUCGGGGGUAGAGCACUGUUUCGGCUAGGGGGUCAUCCCGACUUACCAACCCGAUGCAAACUACGAAUACCGAAGAAUGUUAUCACGGGAGACACACGGCGGGUGCUAACGUCCGUCGUGAAGAGGGAAACAACCCAGACCGCCAGCUAAGGUCCCAAAGUCAUGGUUAAGUGGGAAACGAUGUGGGAAGGCACAGACAGCCAGGAUGUUGGCUUAGAAGCAGCCAUCAUUUAAAGAAAGCGUAAUAGCUCACUGGUCGAGUCGGCCUGCGCGGAAGAUGUAACGGGGCUAAACCAUGCACCGAAGCUGCGGCAGCGACACUAUGUGUUGUUGGGUAGGGGAGCGUUCUGUAAGCCUGCGAAGGUGWSCUGUGAGGSWUGCUGGAGGUAUCAGAAGUGCGAAUGCUGACAUAAGUAACGAUAAAGCGGGUGAAAAGCCCGCUCGCCGGAAGACCAAGGGUUCCUGUCCAACGUUAAUCGGGGCAGGGUGAGUCGACCCCUAAGGCGAGGCCGAAAGGCGUAGUCGAUGGGAAACAGGUUAAUAUUCCUGUACUUGGUGUUACUGCGAAGGGGGGACGGAGAAGGCUAUGUUAGCCGGGCGACGGUUGUCCCGGUUUAAGCAUGUAGGCUGGUUAUCCAGGCAAAUCCGGAUAAUCAAGGCUGAGGUGUGAUGACGAGGCACUACGGUGCUGAAGUAACAAAUGCCCUGCUUCCAGGAAAAGCCUCUAAGCAUCAGGUAACAUCAAAUCGUACCCCAAACCGACACAGGUGGUCAGGUAGAGAAUACCAAGGCGCUUGAGAGAACUCGGGUGAAGGAACUAGGCAAAAUGGUGCCGUAACUUCGGGAGAAGGCACGCUGGUGUGUAGGUGAAGCCCCUGCGGGUGGAGCUGAGACCAGUCGAAGAUACCAGCUGGCUGCAACUGUUUAUUAAAAACACAGCACUGUGCAAACACGAAAGUGGACGUAUACGGUGUGACGCCUGCCCGGUGCCGGAAGGUUAAUUGAUGGGGUUAUCCGUAAGGAGAAGCUCUUGAUCGAAGCCCCGGUAAACGGCGGCCGUAACUAUAACGGUCCUAAGGUAGCGAAAUUCCUUGUCGGGUAAGUUCCGACCUGCACGAAUGGCGUAAUGAUGGCCAGGCUGUCUCCACCCGAGACUCAGUGAAAUUGAACUCGCUGUGAAGAUGCAGUGUACCCGCGGCAAGACGGAAAGACCCCGUGAACCUUUACUAUAGCUUGACACUGAACAUUGAGCCUUGAUGUGUAGGAUAGGUGGGAGGCUUUGAAGCGUGGACGCCAGUCUGCGUGGAGCCAACCUUGAAAUACCACCCUUUAAUGUUUGAUGUUCUAACGUUGGCCCCUUAUCGGGGUUGCGGACAGUGUCUGGUGGGUAGUUUGACUGGGGCGGUCUCCUCCCAAAGCGUAACGGAGGAGCACGAAGGUUAGCUAAUCCUGGUCGGACAUCAGGAGGUUAGUGCAAUGGCAUAAGCUAGCUUGACUGCGAGCGUGACGGCGCGAGCAGGUGCGAAAGCAGGUCAUAGUGAUCCGGUGGUUCUGAAUGGAAGGGCCAUCGCUCAACGGAUAAAAGGUACUCCGGGGAUAACAGGCUGAUACCGCCCAAGAGUUCAUAUCGACGGCGGUGUUUGGCACCUCGAUGUCGGCUCAUCACAUCCUGGGGCUGAAGUAGGUCCCAAGGGUAUGGCUGUUCGCCAUUUAAAGUGGUACGCGAGCUGGGUUUAGAACGUCGUGAGACAGUUCGGUCCCUAUCUGCCGUGGGCGCUGGAGAAUUGAGGGGGGCUGCUCCUAGUACGAGAGGACCGGAGUGGACGCAUCACUGGUGUUCGGGUUGUCAUGCCAAUGGCACUGCCCGGUAGCUAAAUGCGGAAGAGAUAAGUGCUGAAAGCAUCUAAGCACGAAACUUGCCCCGAGAUGAGUUCUCCCUGAGACUUUAAGUCUCCUGAAGGAACGUUAAAGACGAUGACGUUGAUAGGCCGGGUGUGUAAGCGCAGCGAUGCGUUGAGCUAACCGGUACUAAUGAACCGUGAGGCUUAACCU